CAACUUUUAACAACGGAUCUCUUGGUUCUGGCAUCGAUGAAGAACGCAGCGAAAUGCGAUAAGUAGUGUGAAUUGCAGAAUUCAGUGAAUCAUCGAAUCUUUGAACGCACAUUGCGCCCUUUGGUAUUCCAAAGGGCAUGCCUGUUCGAGCGUCAUUU
rnacentral:rRNA from 3 species